rnacentral:rRNA from 1 species
UACGGGGGGAGCAAGCGUUGUUCGGAUUUACUGGGCGUAAAGGGCGCGUAGGCGGUCACGACAAGUCAGUUGUGAAAUCUCCGGGCUUAACUCGGAACGGUCAACUGAUACUGUCGGACUAGAGUGCAGAAGGGGCAACUGGAAUUCUCGGUGUAGCGGUGAAAUGCGUAGAUAUCGAGAGGAACACCUGCGGCGAAGGCGGGUUGCUGGGCUGACACUGACGCUGAGGCGCGAAAGCUAGGGGAGCGAACAGG